GAUGAACGCUGGCGGCGUGCCUAAUACAUGCAAGUCGAGCGAAUGGAUUGAGAGCUUGCUCUUAUGAAGUUAGCGGCGGACGGGUGAGUAACACGUGGGUAACCUGCCCAUAAGACUGGGAUAACUCCGGGAAACCGGGGCUAAUACCGGAUAACAUUUUGAACCGCAUGGUUCGAAAUUGAAAGGCGGCUUCGGCUGUCACUUAUGGAUGGACCCGCGUCGCAUUAGCUAGUUGGUGAGGUAACGGCUCACCAAGGCAACGAUGCGUAGCCGACCUGAGAGGGUGAUCGGCCACACUGGGACUGGGACACGGCCCAGACUCCUACGGGAGGCAGCAGUAGGGAAUCUUCCGCAAUGGACGAAAGUCUGACGGAGCAACGCCGCGUGAGUGAGGAAGGCUUUCGGGUCGUAAAACUCUGUUGUUAGGGAAGAACAAGUGCUAGUUGAAUAAGCUGGCACCUUGACGGUACCUAACCAGAAAGCCACGGCUAACUACGUACCAGCCGCCGCGGUAA
rnacentral:rRNA from 1 species